rnacentral:misc_RNA from 1 species
AACGAGGCCGACCUGCGGCUGAGUUACCUGCGGAGGGAUCAUUACAAGUGACCCCGGUCUAACCACCGGGAUGUUCAUAACCCUUUGUUGUCCGACUCUGUUGCCUCCGGGGCGACCCUGCCUUCGGGCGGGGGCUCCGGGUGGACACUUCAAACUCUUGCGUAACUUUGCAGUCUGAGUAAAUUUAAUUAAUAAAUUAAAACUUUCAGCAACGGAUCU